GUCCGUUCAUCCCAAUAGGGACGCAUGACACCCAAGCAUGGAACGGGGCUUGGU
rfam:Marine metagenome 1092351174808, whole genome shotgun sequence.